AGGAAUUCAUUACAAUCUUAAAAAUGCCUUCAGCACUGUGGUACAAGGACUAGAGAAAGAAGACAGUAAUACACAUGAAGUCAGACGGCAUUCGUUAAGGAAGAUUCCUCAGUAGCUGAAGAUACCACUUCAACAAUAUCCUCCUAAAGCAAAUUAGGGAAAUACAGGUAGAGCACAAGCAGCAGAGGGGCAGAGAGAAGGAGAGACA